rnacentral:rRNA from 1 species
GUGAGGAAUUUUCCGCAAUGGGCGAAAGCCUGACGGAGCAAUGCCGCGUGAAGGAUGAAGGCCUAUGGGUUGUAAACUUCUUUUCUCAGAAAAGAAUUAUGACGGUAUCUGAGGAAUAAGCAUCGGCUAACUCUGUGCCAGCAGCCACGGUAAGACAGAGGAUGCAAGCGUUAUCCGGAAUGAUUGGGCGUAAAGCGUCUGUAGGUUGUUUAAAAAGUAUUCUGUCAAAGAUUAGGGCUUAACCCUAGAUAGGCAGAAUAAACUUUUAAGCUAGAGUUUGGUAGAGGCAGAGGGAAUUCCCGGUGGAGCGGUGAAAUGCGUAGAUAUCGGGAGGAACACCAAAGGCGAAGGCACUCUGCUGGGCCAAUACUAACACUGAGAGACGAAAGCGAGGGGAGCAAAUGGGAUUAGAAACCCCUGUAGUCC